GAUGAACGCUAGCUACAGGCUUAACACAUGCAAGUCGAGGGGAAACGGCAUCGAAAGCUUGCUUUUGAUGGGCGUCGACCGGCGCACGGGUGAGUAACGCGUAUCCAACCUGCCCAUCACUUGGGAAUAACCUUGCGAAAGUAAGACUAAUGCCCAAUGACAUCCCACGAAGGCAUCCGAAUGGGAUUAAAGAUUUAUCGGUGAUGGAUGGGGAUGCGUCUGAUUAGCUUGUUGGCGGGGUGACGGCCCACCAAGGCAACGAUCAGUAGGGGUUCUGAGAGGAAGGUCCCCCACAUUGGAACUGAGACACGGUCCAAACUCCUACGGGAGGCAGCAGUGAGGAAUAUUGGUCAAUGGGCGAGAGCCUGAACCAGCCAAGUAGCGUGCAGGAUGACGGCCCUAUGGGUUGUAAACUGCUUUUAUAAGGGAAUAAAGUGGGUCACGUGUGACUUUUUGCAUGUACCUUAUGAAUAAGGACCGGCGAAUGCCG
rnacentral:rRNA from 1 species